CUAUAGAUAGUAGUUGUGCUUAUAGUAAUAGAUUUACAUAUAGAUUUUUCAACAAAAAAAAUAACAAGUGAAUAUGAUGCCAAAUUUAAGACCACCAAGAGUCAUCAUUACAUCAUUACACAAGAUCAGAAACACUCUCGUCUCAGGGUGCGCUUCCUUUCUGGACAGGAAACGCUGAAUCGUGCCUCCACUGAAAAGCUGUUCUGCGGCUGACAGGAUCAGAGGGCACUGCUACGGAGCCCAUGCAGCGCCAGUCCAUGGACAAAUCUGGCUCAUCUCUAGCCUAUAGACCUGCCUUUAUCGACUAGGGAAUCAAACACGCAAAGUGAUUCUUCUUUGCCUUGGUAUACAGUAGAAGCCCUGACUGAGAUGUAUGGACAGAACCCUAACUGGUUGUGGUCGAACGGGGUGCCUCUACGCCACCUGGGCAGACUUGGCUCAGCAACCCUGAGGCAAUGGGAGGAUGAGGAAGAAAGAAAAGAGGAAGAACAUGCAAUUUGGACCAGGGAGCAUCCAGCAAUCUGUUGCUAUACUACAAUGCUUGCCAGUGUGGCCAGAUGACUUGUGACUAAGAGCCUUGCCCAAACUCAGCAGGCCCAUUGGCAGGCCAAAGAGACAGCAGGACCAAACACGUGAUACAACGACAGACUGCAACAGAACAGCAUCCAACCUUCCAUCAUCCCUUCUCACCACACCUCACUGUUAUCGCUCCUCCAUCUCAUCCCUUCCCCUCCUCUCUCAGCCUUUAUCCACGUUUCAGUCUUCAUCUCUCCUAUUCCCAUUUUUUUGUAUGCUCAUUAAAGUGCCAUCCAACAUAUAGACAUAAUUCCAUUCACAUGAAUCCCUUUAGACAUCAUCAGUGGUAUGAACAGAAUAGCUUUUUGUCAAAUGUUCUUAGGUUCUCUCCUCUGUCCCCUGUGUCUUCAGAUGGCCAUGGCCUCACCCAAGAGUGUGUUCAGAACCACUGGGGCUGGGCUGGUACCGAGAGUCCCUUUGGCCCUGUCCACACAGACCUAGUUAGCAUCCAAAGCCAGAGUGACACAGGGCUAGAUGCCCCUGAAAUAUGGACGGAUGUCCCCCCACACCAGCCUUCCUUGGGUGGGGCUCAUGGAGAAGAAUCAUCCCAGCAUUGUUUAGACAGUCAAUGGGGGAGCCACAGGACAGAGGGCCAUGGCUGUGCUUGUGUGCAUGGACCAAGUGAACCAGGAAGAUGUUGCCACAGUUGUGCUGGUUCCCCUCUCUUCAAUUUCAGAAUGAGAAACACAAUAAUGGUCGGAGUCGAGGUGGAAAUAGUGGAGGAAGUAGCCUAUGAGGACACAGAGACACUUGAAGUAAUAUCAGGAGUCUAUCCCAAUUAUUUGAUGGAAACCAUAUUGCUGCACGAUGACCAGCUUUUCCCCACCUAAUCCUGCAUUCCUUCAAAAGUUGUUUGCAAGGGAACUUUCUGUGUUUUUAAAUGUCAGCCUUGUCGUUUGAAUGUAUUUUAAACGUAUUUAAAUGUGGUUUAAAUAUUAAAAUGUAUUUUAAAUACCAUUUAAAGGCCUUUUAUAUGUCAGUGUUAUGUAAGUGACGUUACAUUUAAUUUAAAAAAGAUUUACCCAAUAAAAUAAGAAAACCUUU